AUACCUUCUCGGCCAUUUGGCUAAGAUCAAGUGUAGUAUCUGUUCUUAUCAGUUUAAUGUCUGAUAUGUGAGUCGUUGGCUCACACGAUAUUAAUUAAUUUUUUUUCAGGGAGGGUUCCCAUCACAGCAGCUUGCUGCUGGGGUUCUCACGCGUCGCCCUUUUCUCAAAUGCUUAGAUGCUCUUGAA